rnacentral:siRNA from 1 species
AUCAUUAAAAAACCAACGUAGUGA